UACGUAGGGUGCAAGCGUUGUCCGGAAUUAUUGGGCGUAAAGAGCUCGUAGGCGGUUUGUCGCGUCUGCUGUGAAAACUCGGGGCUCAACCCCGAGCUUGCAGUGGGUACGGGCAGACUAGAGUGCGGUAGGGGAGACUGGAAUUCCUGGUGUAGCGGUGGAAUGCGCAGAUAUCAGGAGGAACACCGGUGGCGAAGGCGGCCCACUGGUCCGGUACUGACGCUGAGGUGCGAAAGCGUGGGGAGCAAACAGG
rnacentral:rRNA from 1 species